rnacentral:rRNA from 1 species
GACGAACGCUGGCGGCGUGCUUAACACAUGCAAGUCGAACGAUGAAGCUGGAGCUUGCUCCGGUGGAUUAGUGGCGAACGGGUGAGUAACACGUGAGCAAUCUGCCCUUGACUCUGGGAUAACUGCGGGAACCUGUAGCUAAUACCCGAUACUUUCACUGGAAGGCAUCUUCUGGUGAAGAAAGAAUUUCGGUCAAGGAUGAGCUCGCGGCCUAUCAGCGUGUUGGUGAGGUAACGGCUCACCAAGGCGACGACGGGUAGCCGGCCUGAGAGGGUGACCGGCCACACUGGGACUGAGACACGGCCCAGACUCCUACGGGAGGCAGCAGUGGGGAAUAUUGCACAAUGGGCGCAAGCCUGAUGCAGCAACGCCGCGUGAGGGAUGAAGGCCUUCGGGUUGUAAACCUCUUUUAGCAGGGAAGAAGCGAAAGUGACGGUACCUGCAGAAAAAGCACCGGCUAACUACGUGCCAGCCGCCGCCGUAA